UACGGUCAAAUCACGCUGAAACACCGGUUCUCGUACGAUCACCGAAGUUAAACAGCGUAGAGCCAGGUCAGUACUUAGAUGGGGGACCGCUUGGGAACACCUGGUACUGUAAG
rnacentral:rRNA from 1 species